rnacentral:lncRNA from 1 species
UUCUCAUCUCCAUCUCAAACGGCUGAUUUUCCUAAGAAACCCUACCUGCGGCGCUGAUUCACGUCGGUUUCUCAUCUCCAUCUCAAACAGCUUUCUCCCCGUCGUUCUUUUCUGAUCCCACCACACAAACCCUAAUUUCCUUCAAUCAACUUCCUCCCUGUCGUUCUUCUCUACCUAUCCAUUACGUUUGGGAGUUAAUUAGUGGACUUGCAAAUCGUGAAUGAGAUCUGCCUCUAAACGAAGGGCAUUGGAAUUACAUCAAUAUCAAGGCUAAUAAAACCCUUGGAUUUUAUGGAUUUUGAUCUCAUUUUUUGCCAUUGUCAAGCAAAACAAAGGUCCAGUGCGAGUUAGGUAUGUGAAAAUUUACUCAUAAAAUUAAGCAUCAAUUUGUUAUUAGAGAAGGCUUGCAUUUUGCUUUAUUUCAUUUAUGGAAACAAGCUUUGUGAUGACAAAGUUCCUGAUCGAAUUCACCGUACAUAUACUAUUUGGUAAUUUCAACCCAUUUUGAUAUGUUAUAUGUCCAGACUAUCACUUCUGAUCUUAGACUAAAUAUAUAUCAAACCGGUUGAAACAAUGUGUUGAACCGGCAAGAAAGGAAUCAAGGUUUUUCCUUUUAACUAAUUGAUUUUGGGCUUUAUGUGUUCUUCAAACCAGGUAUUUUAAUAUGUACCUUUUAUCCCAUAUGUUUACAUUUGCUUUUAAACUGAUUAUUAUUGAGACUUUAAGAAUCAUAAAUUGAUAGCUGGGUGUUUAAUGGAACAAAGCAGGUGACAAAAAAUGAAGAAAGAAAGUAGGGUCACUUUGAAAAUGGAAAAGUCAACAUGAAAUUCAAGUUCAACUAUGGACCAUGGUAUGAUAUAUUAAUUUAAAAUCCAAGUUCAGUCAUGUUAUAUUAAUUUAAAAUCUGUUGAAUCAUUUUCUUCAAGUCUUGGUAUGGAUCCAUGGAAAUUCAAAAGUGAAUUGAAUUUUGGAAAUAAAAAAAUAAAGAUGGGAGAGACUAAAGAAAGAGAUAUCAGUUGUAUGAAAAAAAAUGAGGUAUUGGUUUGUAUUUAUAAAUAAAAGUGGUGGCGGUUUGGUAUAGGCUGGCACCUAAGAAUCGGUAUCCGGCUGCGUGAAAGUGUUGCAUUAGUGCAUUGGCUGGCGAAACCGGCAAAUUUGGCGGAGUUGGGGAGGAAGGUUGAAUUGCAAUGAUGGUAAACUACUUGUGGUUUGAUCAAGAUCUACCUACAGAUGCUCAGUUUUCUACAAAUAAUGUUAUUAUCAAACACUAGAAUUCAAAGGCAACAAGUUAAAGAUUCUGUGUUUUUACUUGCAACUCCAGCUGCGCGAGUUGAUAAACAAAUCCUAACAACAGUUCAUUUAAACUAUUGUUAACGAUUCCAAUGGCGUUGUUUUACUAGAUAUACCCAUCGCAAACUCAGUAUCAUUUCCCACAUCCGGCGCUUGAUCAACAUUUUUUGGUCUAUUAUAUGCCGACUAGGCAGUCGGCCCAAGGUUAUAACUUACCAUUGCAGGCUGAUGCCUCCUAUGCUGUUUCUGCC